rnacentral:tRNA from 1 species
GGAGAGAUGGCAGAGUGGUCGAAUGCGGUUGACUCGAAAUCAAUUGUGCGUGUUAAAGCGUACCUAGGGUUCGAAUCCCUAUCUCUCCGCCA